GGUACCUUAGCUCAGUUGGUAGAGCAAUGGACUGAAAAUCCAUGUGUCCCUAGUUCGAUUCUUGGAGGUACCA
rnacentral:tRNA from 1 species